UGGCGGACGGGUGAGGAACACGUGGAUAACCGACCCUUGACUGGGGAAUACCAGGACGAAAGUUCUGUUAAUACCGCAUACGCUGGGGACAGGAAAGCUCUUCGGAGCGGUCGAGGACGGGUCUGCGGACGAUUAGCUAGUUGGUGGGGUAAUGGCUCACCAAGGCGAUGAUCGUUAGCUGGUCUGAGAGGAUGAUCAGCCACACUGGGAUUGAGAACGGCCCAG
rnacentral:rRNA from 1 species